rnacentral:rRNA from 1 species
GAUGAACGCUGGCGGUAUGCCUUACACAUGCAAGUCGAACGGUAGAGGGGCAACCCUUGAGAGUGGCGAACGGGUGAGUAAUACAUCGGAACGUGCCCAGUCGUGGGGGAUAACGUAGCGAAAGCUACGCUAAUACCGCAUACGACCUGAGGGUGAAGGCGGGGGAUCGCAAGACCUCGCGCGAUUGGAGCGGCCGAUGGCAGAUUAGGUAGUUGGUGGGGUAAAGGCCUACCAAGCCUGCGAUCUGUAGCUGGUCUGAGAGGACGACCAGCCACACUGGGACUGAGACACGGCCCAGACUCCUACGGGAGGCAGCAGUGGGGAAUUUUGGACAAUGGGCGAAAGCCUGAUCCAGCCAUACCGCGUGCGGGAAGAAGGCCUUCGGGUUGUAAACCGCUUUUGUCAGGGAAGAAAUCUUCUGGGUUAAUACCUCGGGAGGAUGACGGUACCUGAAGAAUAAGCACCGGCUAACUACGUGCCAGCCGCCGCCGUAAUAC